rnacentral:rRNA from 1 species
UACGAAGGGGGCUAGCGUUGCUCGGAAUCACUGGGCGUAAAGGGCGCGUAGGCGGUCAGCACAAGUCAGUUGUGAAAUCUCCGGGCUUAACUCGGAAAGGUCAACUGAUACUGUGCGACUAGAGUGCAGAAGGGGCAACUGGAAUUCCCGGUGUAGCGGUGAAAUGUGUAGAGAUCGGGAGGAACACCGGUGGCGAAGGCGGGUCUCUGGGCAUUUCCUGACGCUGAGGCGCGAAAGCGUGGGGAGCAAACGGG